rnacentral:rRNA from 1 species
AUUAAACGCUGGCGGCAGGCCUAACACAUGCAAGUCGGACGGUAGCACAGAGGAGCUUGCUCCUCGGGUGAUGAGUGGCGGACGGGUGAGUAAUGUCCGGGGAUCUGCCCGAUAGAGGGGGACAACCACUGGAAACGGUGGCUAAUACCGCAUAACGUCGCAAGACCAAAGAGGGGGACCUUCGGGCCUCUCACUAUCGGAUGAACCCAGAUGGGAUUAGCUAGUAGGCGGGGUAACGGCCCACCUAGGCGACGAUCCCUAGCUGGUCUGAGAGGAAGAACAUCCACACUGGAACUGAGACAAGGUCCAGACUACUACGGGAGGCAGCAGUGGGGAAUAUUGCACAAUGGGCGCAAGGCUGAUGCAGCCAUGCCGCGUGUAUGAAGAAGGCCUUCGGGUUGUAAAGUACUUUCAGCGUGGAGGAAGGUGCUGAGGUUAAUAACCUCAGCAAUUGACGUUACCCGCAGAAGAAGCACCGGCUAACUCCGUGCCAGCAGCCGCAGUAAUAC